rnacentral:misc_RNA from 1 species
UACGGAGGGUGCAAGCGUUGUUCGGAAUUACUGGGCGUAAAGCGCGUGUAGGCGGCCCGGCAAGUCGGUUGUGAAAGCCCUGGGCUCAACCCAGGAACCGCAUCCGAAACUGCCGGGCUAGAGUCCCGGAGAGGAAGGCAGAAUUCCCAGUGUAGGGGUGAAAUCCGUAGAUAUUGGGAAGAAUACCAGAGGCGAAGGCGGCCUUCUGGACGGUGACUGACGCUGAGCCGCGAAAGCGUGGGGAGCAAACAGG